rnacentral:rRNA from 1 species
ACUUAAAUUGAAGAGUUUGAUCAUGGCUCAGAUUGAACGCUGGCGGCAGGCCUAACACAUGCAAGUCGAGCGGUAGCACAGAGAGCUUGCUCUCGGGUGACGAGCGGCGGACGGGUGAGUAAUGUCUGGGAAACUGCCUGAUGGAGGGGGAUAACUACUGGAAACGGUAGCUAAUACCGCAUAACGUCGCAAGACCAAAGUGGGGGACCUUCGGGCCUCAUGCCAUCAGAUGUGCCCAGAUGGGAUUAGCUAGUAGGUGGGGUAACGGCUCACCUAGGCGACGAUCCCUAGCUGGUCUGAGAGGAUGACCAGCCACACUGGAACUGAGACACGGUCCAGACUCCUACGGGAGGCAGCAGUGGGGAAUAUUGCACAAUGGGCGCAAGCCUGAUGCAGCCAUGCCGCGUGUGUGAAGAAGGCCUUCGGGUUGUAAAGCACUUUCAGCGGGGAGGAAGGCGUUAAGGUUAAUAACCUUAGCGAUUGACGUUACCCGCAGAAGAAGCACCGGCUAACUCCGUGCCAGCAGCCGCGGUAAUACGGAGGGUGCAAGCGUUAAUCGGAAUUACUGGGCGUAAAGCGCACGCAGGCGGUCUGUCAAGUCGGAUGUGAAAUCCCCGGGCUCAACCUGGGAACUGCAUUCGAAACUGGCAGGCUAGAGUCUUGUAGAGGGGGGUAGAAUUCCAGGUGUAGCGGUGAAAUGCGUAGAGAUCUGGAGGAAUACCGGUGGCGAAGGCGGCCCCCUGGACAAAGACUGACGCUCAGGUGCGAAAGCGUGGGGAGCAAACAGGAUUAGAUACCCUGGUAGUCCACGCCGUAAACGAUGUCGAUUUGGAGGUUGUGCCCUUGAGGCGUGGCUUCCGGAGCUAACGCGUUAAAUCGACCGCCUGGGGAGUACGGCCGCAAGGUUAAAACUCAAAUGAAUUGACGGGGGCCCGCACAAGCGGUGGAGCAUGUGGUUUAAUUCGAUGCAACGCGAAGAACCUUACCUGGUCUUGACAUCCACAGAACUUAGCAGAGAUGCUUUGGUGCCUUCGGGAACUGUGAGACAGGUGCUGCAUGGCUGUCGUCAGCUCGUGUUGUGAAAUGUUGGGUUAAGUCCCGCAACGAGCGCAACCCUUAUCCUUUGUUGCCAGCGGUUCGGCCGGGAACUCAAAGGAGACUGCCAGUGAUAAACUGGAGGAAGGUGGGGAUGACGUCAAGUCAUCAUGGCCCUUACGACCAGGGCUACACACGUGCUACAAUGGCAUAUACAAAGAGAAGCGACCUCGCGAGAGCAAGCGGACCUCAUAAAGUAUGUCGUAGUCCGGAUUGGAGUCUGCAACUCGACUCCAUGAAGUCGGAAUCGCUAGUAAUCGUAGAUCAGAAUGCUACGGUGAAUACGUUCCCGGGCCUUGUACACACCGCCCGUCACACCAUGGGAGUGGGUUGCAAAAGAAGUAGGUAGCUUAACCUUCGGGAGGGCGCUUACCACUUUGUGAUUCAUGACUGGGGUGAAGUCGUAACAAGGUAACCGUAGGGGAACCUGCGGUUGGAUCACCUCCUUACCUUAAAGAA